rnacentral:rRNA from 1 species
GACGAACGCUGGCGGCGUGCCUAAUACAUGCAAGUUGAGCGCUGAAGGUUGGUACUUGUACCAACUGGAUGAGCAGCGAACGGGUGAGUAACGCGUGGGGAAUCUGCCUUUGAGCGGGGGACAACAUUUGGAAACGAAUGCUAAUACCGCAUAAAAACUUUAAACACAAGUUUUAAGUUUGAAAGAUGCAAUUGCAUCACUCAAAGAUGAUCCCGCGUUGUAUUAGCUAGUUGGUGAGGUAAAGGCUCACCAAGGCGAUGAUACAUAGCCGACCUGAGAGGGUGAGCGGCCACAUUGGGACUGAGACACGGCCCAAACUCCUACGGGAGGCAGCAGUAGGGAAUCUUCGGCAAUGGACGAAAGUCUGACCGAGCAACGCCGCGUGAGGGAAGAAGGUUUUCGGAUCGUAAAACUCUGUUGGUAGAGAAGAACGUUGGUGAGAGUGGAAAGCUCAUCAAGUGACGGUAACUACCCAGAAAGGGACGGCUAACUACGUG